AACACUAGAUGGCUCAUGGGAGAUUUUCCAGCGUAGCUGACCGGCCGCCAUCUUGCUACAGUCAACAGUUACUCUGAUUCGCGUUAUGGUAGCUGUUGUAAGAAGUACCUGACUAUGCCGGACUUUUGUGCAGCCUACGGAUGCUCUAAUCACCGCAGGCUGCAAACAAGAACCCGUGGGAUCACCUUUCACGUGUUUCCCAAAACCGAAGAGAGGAGGAGGCAGUGGGAACUCGCCCUAAGAAGGGACAUCUUCAGGUUCCAUGAGACGCAGCACUAUGUUCCCCACAUAUGUUUAUGUUUGCUCAGUCUAAUAAACCCAUAACAUGGUUGUGAAAGAAUACCAAA